rnacentral:misc_RNA from 1 species
AAACUGCGAUAAGUAGUGUGAAUUGCAUUUAGUGAAUCAUCGAAUCUUUGAACGCACCUUGCACUCACUGGUAUUCCGGUGAGUACGCCUGUUUCAGUAUCAUUGAAAACACACAAUCAAAACAUUUUCUUUGGUUUGAUUGGCUUUGGGUCUAUCAAAAAGUUUGGCUUGUUUCUUACAAGCCAAGCGGCCUGAAAUAUAUUGUCUGGCUAAUUGCAUCGUUGAUGAUCGCUAUUAGACUUUGGCUUUUUUAAAUGAACUGGAGGUUGAUUAACCAGUUUUAGCUUUAGUCAAAUGGUCAUUGUAAAAAAAAUCUCGAUCUUGGCUAGGUGUUUAUAGCCGAAAAUUUUUUUUUGGCUAUAACCGAAACCAAUAUAAUCACAUUUAGUUAUCGAUCUGAAAUCAGGUGGGACUACCCGCUGAACUUAAGC